GCUUCUUGAAAUGUCUUAGUACAUAAUUACUCUUAAAAAUAAAUAACUUUUUUUCCCCAUGUAGGGUGGACAAAGACAGCAAAGCAGCAGCAGCAGCAGCACUUAUAUCACGGGUUCCCAAGGCAGCCAGUCCUAUGGCCAGGGCUACCAGCCUCAAGGUGGCAGUUCCUAUGGACAGGUAAUUGUCAGUCAGAAUACAGCCUUUGAGAAAGUGGAGUGCCAUGGCCCUGCAAAAUUUG
rnacentral:lncRNA from 1 species